GACGAACGCUGGCGGCGUGCUUAACACAUGCAAGUCGAACGGAAAGGCCCUGCUUUUGUGGGGUGCUCGAGUGGCGAACGGGUGAGUAACACGUGAGUAACCUGCCCUUGACUUUGGGAUAACUUCAGGAAACUGGGGCUAAUACCGGAUAGGAGCUCCUGCUGCAUGGUGGGGGUUGGAAAGUUUCGGCGGUUGGGGGUGGACUCGCGGCUUAUCAGCUUGUUGGUGGGGUAGUGGCUUACCAAGGCUUUGACGGGUAGCCGGCCUGAGAGGGUGACCGGCCACAUUGGGACUGAGAUACGGCCCAGACUCCUACGGGAGGCAGCAGUGGGGAAUAUUGCACAAUGGGCGGAAGCCUGAUGCAGCAACGCCGCGUGCGGGAUGACGGCCUUCGGGUUGUAAACCGCUUUCGCCUGUUACGAAGCGUGAGUGACGGUAAUGGGUAAAGAAGCACCGGCUAACUACGUG
rnacentral:rRNA from 1 species